rnacentral:rRNA from 1 species
UACGUAGGGUGCGAGCGUUAAUCGGAAUUACUGGGCGUAAAGGGUGCGUAGGCGGAUAUGUAAGUUAGAUGUGAAAUACCCAAGCUUAACUUGGGAGGUGCAUUUAAGACUGCAUGACUAGAGUUUGUGAGAGGGUGGUAGAAUUCCAAGUGUAGCAGUGAAAUGCGUAGAGAUUUGGAGGAAUACCGAUGGCGAAGGCAGCCACCUGGCAUAAAACUGACGCUGAGGCACGAAAGCGUGGGUAGCAAACAGG